GACAGAGGGUGCAAACGUUGUUCGGAAUUACUGGGCGUAAAGCGCGUGUAGGCGGCCCUGCAAGUCGGAUGUGAAAUCCCACGGCUCAACCGUGGAAGUGCAUUCGAAACUGCAGGGCUAGAGUCCUGGAGAGGAAGGUGGAAUGCUUGGUGUAGAGGUGAAAUUCGUAGAUAUCAAGCGGAACACCGGUGGCGAAGGCGGCCUUA
rnacentral:rRNA from 1 species